rnacentral:rRNA from 1 species
GAUGAACGCUGGCGGCGUGCUUAACACAUGCAAGUCGAACGGUGAAGGCGGAGCUUGCUCUGCUGGAUCAGUGGCGAACGGGUGAGUAACACGUGAGCAAUCUGCCCCUGACUCUGGGAUAAGCGCUGGAAACGGCGUCUAAUACUGGAUACGAGCUGCGAAGGCAUCUUCAGCAGCUGGAAAGAACUUCGGUCAGGGAUGAGCUCGCGGCCUAUCAGCUUGUUGGUGAGGUAACGGCUCACCAAGGCGUCGACGGGUAGCCGGCCUGGGAGGGUGACCGGCCACAGUGGGAAUGGGGAGCGGCCCGGGCCGCAUAGGGGAGCAGGGGGGGGGAAUGUUGCAAAAGGGGCGAAGGCGUGGAGGAGCAACGCCGGGGGGGGGAGGACGGCCUUCGGGGUGGAAGCCUGUUUUGGCAGGAAAGAAGCGAAAGGGAGGGUACCGGCAAAAAAAGCCCCGGCAAACUAGGG